UACGUAGGCGGACUUAUAAGUCAGUGGUGAAAUCUAGCAGCUUAACUGUUAACGUGCCAUUGAUACUGUAGGUCUUGAGUAUAACUGAGGUAGUUGGAAUGCGUAGUGUAGCGGUGAAAUGCUUAGAGAUUACGCAGAACACCUAUUGCGAAGGCAGACUACUAAGUUAUAACUGACGCUGAGGUACGAAAGCGUGGGGAGCGAACAGGAUUAGAUACCCUGGUAGUC
rnacentral:rRNA from 1 species